GGCCCUGGCCGAAGGUUUCCUCCUGAGUCAGGCAGAGGAGAGAAAGCAGCUGCUGGAGGAAGAUCAGCUGUACCUGCCGGAGGUGAUUCAGAACUGCCAGGCAACUCAGCUCAGGGGGCUCCGAACCCUGAAGUGCUCCAAGCAGGAGACGGCCAAAGCCAUCCUAGGGUCACUUAAAGAAGAAAACCUUGCAGCUGCAGAUUGCUGUCACCUGUAGCUAAAAUCAAUGCUGCGCCUGUCUAUAUACAUUGUAAGACUUGUUGUUCACUGCAGAAACCACUGUGUUAUAAGUUCCAUUAUCUGGAUACUUCAUAUAUGGUAUGUACUUUUAUAGCACAAUUGUUUAUAUAAUUUUAAUUUGUUAAAUGAUCUAGUGGUCGAUCCACAACUCUGGUCACUGCUCCCUGAGAAAAGCUCAAGAACUCUGGGCAAAGACAAUGGGUAGAUCACUGGCAGGAUUUUUAUUAUUAAUAGCAUUUAUUUUAUUUUAUUUUAUUUUCCCUUUGGGGACAUGUCCACCACAUGUGGAAUAAGGUUCCCUCAUUUUGUCUGCAUCUCCAACAUUUAUUGCUGAUAUUUAUUUAUUUUGACUGAUUUGGAUGGGGUCAGGUACCAUCUAAAAAUCAGAUAGCAUGUGGUGAAUUUUAAGUCUUUUUUCAUAAUUUCCCUCAUUUUUCAUCUUCAUUGGAUAGCCACAAUCGUGUGCCCAUUUCACCAUCACCUCCUUCACCUCCUAGUCCUUAAGGUUCCAGUCCAGUAACAAUCUGUGUAGU